CAUCACUUGUCUGCACUCUAUUCCUCCACCCAUGUCUUCACACAUCUGCUAACUGCCACGUAGACAGAGGUUGUACUUUUCUAUAAAAGCUGAAACCCAACUCCGUUUGUUGGGCUCCUAACUCUGCACCAUUGAGUGAUUUGUUUACCGCUUCAGAUUUAAAAGUCUUAUAAUAAAGUUGAUGUUUUAAGAAUCUACAGUCUCUCUUCAUUUGGGUUAGAAUUUCCACAACAAUUCUUGGAGACAAGGAUGAGAUGUCUAAUUCCGCUUGCUGAUCGUUCCCAGGGACACCAACGUUAACUGUGCAUAGAGGCUAGGUAAGACGUGGCUCAGGGAGCCUACACUCCGAUUGAGAGGAGCAGAAGGAAACUGCCUCGGACCCGGCAGGGAGUGAGGCGCCAUCCCGAAAAUACAGAGUUAUGGGGCCGGAUCGAGGAACGGGAAUGCAGACGCGCUGUCCCGACAGGACCAAGAUGGUGCGUCUGGAGCCAGACCCUCCGGUGAGGUCCUGGGGGGGAAAGUAUGUGGAAGGCCCACCAGAGGGCAGGCUGGGCUCACGGAUAGUAGCCCAACAAGGCAUGGGAGACAAGGGUAAAAGCUGCUUUAGCUGGACCACUCCACAAACUUCAGCCAGGCGAUUGGGUGGUCAUCAAGGACCACCGCAGAAAGACUAGGCACCAACAGCGCUGGACUGGUCCAUUCCAGGUGCUCCAGACAACACAGACAGUGGUGAAGGAUGCAGAGGUCUACUUAGGUUCACGUCAGCCACUGCAGGGAGGUUCCCCACAACCCAGGUGACGAAUUGUCGUUGGCGACUCUAGUGGCCACGGGAAGACCAGGACUGGACUCUAAGCAUAAUUUCGUACACUAGAGUUGAGGAACAAUAGGAAAGUAAUUCAGUUUUGAAAGUUGAUAAACUUAACCUCACUUUUGAAAAAAUGGCCCUUGAAUGUUUUGGUAAACCUACUGGAGAGCUCUUAUUUGUCUACACCCAUUCAGCAUUGUUCACACCCUCUUAAGCCUUAACCCCGCUCAACAUUUUAAGGAUUAACAUGUGAGGCCAUGUACUAAACAACCAAAGAUUUCAAGAAUAGAGGCUGGUUUAUACUACUGGUGUAUUUGUACAUUGUUAUGGGGAUUAACAUGGUUAAGGUAAUGGUAAGAUAAUGACUAAAUGAUUAAUACGUUCCAAUUCAUGUUAAGGCCAUAACUAACAGUAUUCCACCCUGUCACUGUAUAAUGGAGUAAAAUGUGUUUGAAUCAUAAGACUAGAAUUCAUGAUUGUAUGUGCAUAAAAAAGAGGAACUGUUACCAGACAAGAGACUGUGGCAGACAACUUGUGACAAUUGUGACAACUGUGAAACUGAUAACAGGGAAGGAGGUCUCCCCACCCAGGAAGGGGAGAAACCGUUGGGCUUGCAGUAGAUUGUGUAACAUGUUGCAGGAUAUGAUAAGCAAGGUAUGUGUUGGAGAAACCUUGUAAACAGCAUUGACAGUGUUAGAGGGGCAUUUAUAUUACCAAAUGUGAGGUAUAAAAGGCUAUGUGCAUUGUAUGAUUUUUAACGCUCUCGUGAAUAAACCUUCUGACUAUUAUAA